UACGGGGGGUGCGAGCGUUGUCCGGAAUCAUUGGGCGUAAAGGGCGCGUAGGUGGCCUGCUAAGCGUGCGGUGAAAGUCGGGGGCUCAACCCCCGAUCGGCCGUGCGAACUGGGAGGCUUGAGCACUGUAGAGGCAGGCGGAAUUCCGGGUGUAGCGGUGGAAUGCGUAGAGAUCCGGAAGAACACCGGUGGCGAAGGCGGCCUGCUGGGCAGUUUUGCUGACACUGAGGCGCGACAGCGUGGGGAGCAAACAGG
rnacentral:rRNA from 1 species